GGUAGUCCACGCCGUAAACGAUGUCGACUUGGAGGUUGUUCCCUUGAGGAGUGGCUUCCGGAGCUAACGCGUUAAGUCGACCGCCUGGGGAGUACGGCCGCAAGGUUAAAACUCAAAUGAAUUGACGGGGGCCCGCACAAGCGGUGGAGCAUGUGGUUUAAUUCGAUGCAACGCGAAGAACCUUACCUACUCUUGACAUCCAGAGAACUUAGCAGAGAUGCUUUGGUGCCUUCGGGAACUCUGAGACAGGUGCUGCAUGGCUGUCGUCAGCUCGUGUUGUGAAAUGUUGGGUUAAGUCCCGCAACGAGCGCAACCCUUAUCCUUUGUUGCCAGCGAUUCGGUCGGGAACUCAAAGGAGACUGCCGGUGAUAAACCGGAGGAAGGUGGGGAUGACGUCAAGUCAUCAUGGCCCUUACGAGUAGGGCUACACACGUGCUACAAUGGCGCAUACAAAGAGAAGCGACCUCGCGAGAGCAAGCGGACCUCACAAAGUGCGUCGUAGUCCGGAUCGGAGUCUGCAACUCGACUCCGUGAAGUCGGAAUCGCUAGUAAUCGUGGAUCAGAAUGCCACGGUGAAUACGUUCCCGGGCCUUGUACACACCGCCCGUCACACCAUGGGAGUGGGUUGCAAAAGAAGUAGGUAGCUUAACCUUCGGGAGGGCGCUUACCACUUUGUGAUUCAUGACUGGGGUGAAGUCGUAACAAGGUAACC
rnacentral:rRNA from 1 species